rnacentral:lncRNA from 1 species
GUAGCUCAAGUGAUUGAAGACAACAUGACUUCUUUUCCCAUUUAUACUUGGAAAAAGAGUUGUGAAACCUCAAAGCAUAAACCUUCAGUUCCAGAAUAUGGUAAGUAGUUCGAACUGUUGCUUAGGAGAAUCUCAUGUGCCAAGAUAUUUAAACUGAUGCGUGAAGACUAAGUUUUCCUUUCCCUCAGCAGAAAUCUUGGUGUUCCAGAUGUGCGAUUUCGUAGAUUAAAUGUACUAUUGGCUUUAAGGAAGUGAUUGUACAUAGUUUAAUUUUUUGUGAAAUGCAGCUUUUGUUAGCCAAGUACUGAGAAGUUUUUCUGAAAUCAUGAACACAGCUAAUUAACAACUACGUUAAAAAAGAAUUUGUGAUGCUUCAGAUGGCAUUAAGAUUGAAGCAGAAAUGUAAGUUGUAUCAUCGUUUCAUUAUUCUGUUCUUACUAUUUCUUACAUAGGCAAUUCUCUCAGAUCUGUCUUCAUAUGAAAAACCCAGAAAAUCAUCUCUCUGCUCAUAAGCAAAGCUGAGUAUUCUGCAACUUAAUUUUUAGGCCGAAUGAUAACACCCUUGAUAACAAGUCCUCUAUUCCAUUUCCCACUAUCAUAUUCAUACAUCGAAAACUCCAUGUCACCAGGUAUUUCCGGUGAUGCUCUAAACUCACCAACCGAAAUCUCUAUCCAUUCCUCUCUUGGGAUUUCCUUCAACUUAACUUCAUGCCAUUGUUUGCUACCAUCUGGAAGAGUGAGACUGACAUUCACUGGAACAUCCCAUCCAUCAGCUGAAGCUUUCAGCUUGACCACAAACGCAACUUCAUACAGAGUUCCUGGUGACAGCUUUGUAGUCUCAAAUUGUCCAUGCACUUCUAGCCAACAUUCAUUAAUCAUUUCAGCAGCAUCAAUGACGACACCACUGCAAUGAAACCUGAGUUAGGAUUGAGAGUACUGAUAGCAUUUUAUGAUAAUUAUUAAAUUAUUAUUAUUUUUUGUAUAUAUUGCGUUUAUCUGUUUCAACUUCAAUAGGACUGGAGAAAAUGAGAAAACCAAUAAGUUAUGCAUUGAAGGUUUUGGUACCUGGUUUCUUGCAGGGAGGGCCAGAGCCAGUUACGAUCGUCUUCAGCCCAAGAGAUCGAGAGAUCCCUUGCAUACACCAUAAAGCAGUUGUUGGACUUCUUGUCAACCCAAUACUUCUGCAAUAACAGAAUAAUGACAUAACCAAAGAUGGCUGGUUUCUAUCUAAGUUCACUUACAAGUUGCCCUUCUUUAAAUCAAAAUAAAAGCCCCAUAUAUUUUGAUUUGGAGCUGAAUUUCGGCACGAACUGGAAUAUCACAUUUCACACAACUAAAUCAUCUGAGCAUAGUGUUUGAAUUUCUGAUGCUGGGGUUACCUUUCUCUUUUGGUUUAAGGUUAUUCCAGCACGGAGCUGUUCAUGGAGGUUUUCCACUGAGGAUUUGUUGAUGGGUGAGUCAGCAUCUCUCAAAAUAGCUUCAUAGUUGGGUGGAAGCAGCGGUGGGGGAGGAGGCGGAGGUGGUGGGGCAGGAGGCGGAGGCGGUGGAGGAGGCGGCGGUGGUGGGGGAGGAGGCCGCGGUGGUGGGGAAGGAGGCCGCGGUGGUGGGGAAGGAGGCCGCGGUGGGGUCUCUGGGCCCAUACCCACCCCCCAUCUCUUCAAUUCACUUCUUCCAUCCAAUGCUUAGUUUUUACUUAUAUAGAUAGAAAAACAAGGCUUGGUUGGUCAUUUACAUUGGCAUGCAUAUAAACCUAUGAUUUUCAUAUCAUUGUGUACCUCACUAGGGCUCGUUUGGUACACCGUAUUAGACUCUGGAUAUGAGUAAAUAGUCUAUGUCAGGUGUUUGGUGUCAACUUGUAUUAUUUAAUUAUUCGACUAUUUUAUACGGGUUGGGCUUUUAAUACUUGCUUUACCUGACUAACUAAUACAACUCACACACCCCGGUUUAGAUAAUACACGCUUAAUUAUACGGUUAGGGAAAAAGAACACACGUUUUACGGAAAAAAUCAGACGCUCUUUUCAUCUUCUUCUCCCUAGGGUUGUUUUAUACAAUUUUCUCCACAGGUUAUUUUCUUCACUCUUCUCCAGGUAUCCAUCUCUCACUCUCUCUCUCUUUUUCAUACUCUCUCCAAUAUGUUUUAUAUAUUUCAAAUUUUUAGUGGAAAUUAGGUUAUGAAUUUUUUUUAUUGGCAUUUUUUUUAAUCGAAUGUUUUCUUUGUAUGUAAUAUAGUGAUUCGACGUUGUGGGAAUAUUUAGAUUGUUGGUAUUAAACAGAGUAUUGCCAGUUUUCGUCCAAAAACAAACAACUGUGCUAGUGUUGGUAGUUUAGUUGAAUACAUACAUACUUGACGACUAGGAGAGCAAAAUUACAAAAUUAAAAUUGUAUGAACCUGAAUUCUAGGAACUAUUUUUUUUUUCUUUGUCAAUUGCUAUUAGAAAAGCAAAAGAUGGACUUGUCUAUUAAAUGACCAAAUUAAGGCAUUACAGCUAAUUUUGGAGAAAGCAAGUGAUGAAAAAACAUUCCUGACAUUGGAUGGUGCUAUGAGAAAAGCAUUUGUUCUUCUCUUACUUGGGGCGAGGGAGUUGUGAUUCACUCUUUGAUGUAGUUUGGUUUAUGAACAACUUUCUCUUUUGCUCUUAUCACCUUCAAUAUGUGAUCACUUUGAAUUAUACAUUAUUUGGUACUGUUUUUAUUAACAUAUGCGAGUAUGUUGGAAUUUUUAUGAGAUACUACAAUUAUGAUAAUGGGUUAUAUGAAAAAAAAUCUUGGCAAAAACAAUUGAAAAACAAAUCUUGUCAUAUGAAUCGUACCAAAAAAAAAUUUGUGUCAUUUGAAUCUCUAUUUCCAUUAAAAUUAUCAAAGAUUUUUUUUAAUUUUUUAAUUUAUAAAUAGUAUGAUCUGAUUUUAUCUGAAACAUCAUCAAACACAGUAUAACUUAGUCAGAUUAUUUAUCCGGAACAGCACUAAACGCCUUAUAAUAUUAUGGAUAAAUAGUCAGUACUCUCCGGAACAGAUUAAUACUAUCCGACGGAAAUUAGUCAGUACAGUCCGACGUACCAAACGAGCCCUAAAGGUUUGGAUGGGGAUGAAAGUUUUAGCUUGUUACCUAAGAAAUAUGUCGUGUGAACUUUUUUUUUUUUUUCCUUAAUUAGUUGUCAUUUUCUCAUGCAUGCUGAUGUCAAGCAGGAAUUAGCAAGCAGUGGGUUGGAAAAUACUUUGGAAUAUCAAAAAAUGCCUUUAUUCCAUAUCAAAAAAGGAGGUCUUUUAAAUAAAAUUAUUUAAGGAAUCUCUCAAUAAAAGGCAAUAUAUAUAUAUAUAUAUAUAUUCCAUUCUGCAGGGAAAGGAAAAAAAAAAAAAGGACUUUUAUUCUAAGAUAUAAAUAUUCGUUUUUGUAAAGUAAUAUUUGUAAGUGGUCAUGAUAAUCUUGAUUUACUUGGGACAAUCGAUCAAAAGCUCCCUUUACUGGUUUGAACAUGUACAUUAUAUUUGAAGGCCUUUUCCUUCAUAUCCACUGGAAUUGAUAUUGAAGAAUAUUAUAUUGCUUGACACAGUAAACUUAAGAAGGAAGUUAAAUAAAUGAGAUUAUCCAUUUGUUGGCAGCUUGGUCAAUUGAGCCAUGUUGCUCAUCAUGGGCAGCAUCAGUUUUUUUUUUAUAAAUAAAACUGGUUUUUGGAAUGUUUGUACGUGUGUUGUGAAAUCUUGGGAAAAUUUGAGAAGGUUUCAACUUUCAGGUGCUGAGGGAGUCAGAUAUAUCAACUUGUUGUUAGAAUGUGGUUGUGGGAAUGAUAUUGGUGAUGAAAACCUGAGAAGCUUGGUAAGAACGUUGCCAAUGCCAUCAAAUAUUUCUCACCAAAUGAAAUGAAACUGAAAAUGGGCUAAUAGUGGUUGAACCAAAUUAAGCUAAGUGAUGAUGAUAUGUGAUGACAGCUGCUCCUGCUUAUGUCUUAAAUUACCAGCCAUUAAAAUUCGAAUUGGCCUGGUUCUAAUUGAAGCAGAAAUGGAAGUUGUAUCAUUGUUUCAUUAUUCUGUUCUUAUUAUUUCUUACAUAGGCAAUUCUCUCAGAUCUGUCUUCAUAUGAAAAACCCAGAAAAUCAUCUCUCUGCUCAUAAGCAAAGCUGAGUAUUCUGCAACUUAAUUUUUAGGCCGAAUGAUAACACCCUUGAUAACAAGUCCUCUAUUCCAUUUCCCACUAUCAUAUUCAUACAUCGAAAACUCCAUGUCCCCAGGUAUUUCCGGUGAUGCUCUAAACUCGCCAACCGAAAUAUCUAUCCAUUGCUCUCUUGGGAUUUCCUUCAACUUAACUUCAUGCCAUUGUUUGCUAUCAUCUGGAAGAGUGAGACUGACAUUCACUGGAACAUCCCAUCCUUCAGCUGAAGCCUUCAGCUUGACCACAAACGCAACUUCAUACAGAGUUCCUGGUGACAGCUUUGUAGUCUCAAAUUGUCCAUGCACUUCUAGCCAACAUUCAUUAAUCAUUUCAGCAGCAUCAAUGAAGACACCACUGCAAUGAAACCUGA